GCCUCGCUGGUGUAGUGGUAGCACGCGCCCUCAAACGGGUGAGACGCGGGUUCGACUCCCGCCUGAGGUC